AACAAGGCGUACCUGCGGACCUGCGGAAGGAUCAUUACCAGAGUGCCUUCAGGCUCUCCAACCCACUGUGAACAUACCUACGUUCCCCCGGCGGGCCCAGCGCGCGGCGGCUCCGGCCGCCCGCGUCCGCCGAGGGCAUCUCAAACCCGAAUUUAUUCGUGUCUUCUGAGGGGCGAAAGCCCGUAAAACAAAAUGAAUCAAAACUUUCAACAACGGAUCU
rnacentral:misc_RNA from 1 species